UCGGUUCGGUUUUUUGCCAAAACCGAAACCAAACCGAAUUUUCGGUUCGGUUCGGUUCGGCCCAAAUUUUUUUCGGUUUUUUUCGGUUCGGUUUUUCCGGUUCGGUUUCGGUAUUUUUUCGGUUUUUUUUUUCCCCUCCAAAAAAUGCAAAACAACCACUGAGAAGGACAGUAAUUGUUUUGCACAGGAAACAGGAAUGUGGGACGCCUUGGCAGCUUGGCUGAUACAUGCCAAAUGCCAUACAAGAUUCCCCGAAUGCGAAUCAUAUGCAAUAUGCUUAAACAAACAUCAAUUAUUUAUACAGAGAGAGGAUGAUAGCAUCAAUCCUAAUCCAGAUUCACAGGAUUCACAACCUACCAACAAGAUUCACAGGACUCACAAAUUCACAGAUUCACAGGACUCACAAAUUCACAGGAUUCACAACCUACCAACAAGAUUCACAACCUACUAAUCCAGAUUCACAGAUUCACAGGACUCACAAAUUAAUUAAAUCUCAUCUAAUAGUCUCAUAGUGUUCAGAAACGAAAUUACCCAACCAAAUCCAGCAUACCCAAAACAAAUUGCAAAAUCCAUGAAAUUGAAAAGCUACAGAUCAGAAAUGGCGAGAGGAAGUCGUGGGUCGCGCGCGGGUCAUGGGUCACGGGGGUGAGAGACUGAUAGUGAGAUGGCAUCGGCGAGAUGUGAG
rnacentral:lncRNA from 1 species